UCCGGGUGGCAAUGGGAAGCCGUGAUGCGGAGCGAAAUAAAGUAGUGAAGUCCGUGAGCCAUGCGUCAAGAAAAGCCGCUACUGUUUAUACCGUACCCGUACCGUAAACCGACACAGGUGGAUGAGGAGAGAAUCCUAAGGCCGGCGGAAGAAGCAUUGUCAAGGAACUCGGCAAAAUGGCCCCGUAACUUAGGGAUAAGGGGUGCCUGGGAAACCAGGCCGCAGAGAAUAGGCUCAAGCAACUGUUUAGCAAAAACACAGGUCUACGCGAAACCGAAAGGUGAGGUAUAUGGGCUGACGCCUGCCCGGUGCUGGAAGGUUAAGAGGAGAGGUUAGCGGUAACGCGAAGCUUUGAAUUUAAGCCCCAGUAAACGGCGGCCGUAACGAUAACGGUCCUAAGGUAGCGAAAUUCCUUGUCGGGUAAGUUCCGACCCGCACGAAAGGCGUAAUGAUUUGAGCGCUGUCUCGACAAUGCAUCCGGUGAAAUUGAAGUACCAGUGAAGAUGCUGGUUACCUGCGCCAGGACGGAAAGACCCCAUGGAGCUUUACUCCAGUCUGGUACUGGGACUCGGUAUUGCAUGUACAGGAUAGGUGGGAGGCUAGGAGAUGGUAACGCCAGUUGCCAUGGAGCCGCUGUUGGGAUACCACCCUUGCAGUAUUGGGUUUCUAACCAGCCGCCGUGACCCGGCGGUGGGACAAUGCCAGACGGGGAGUUUGACUGGGGCGGUCGCCUCCGAAAGGGUAUCGGAGGCGCCCAAAGUUUCCCUCAGAAUGGACGGAAACCAUUCGAAGAGUGCAAAGGCAGAAGGGAGCUUGACUGCGACACCGACGGGUGGAGCAGGUACGAAAGUAGGGCUUAGUGAUCCGGUGGUAUUAAGUGGGAAUGCCAUCGCUCAACGGAUAAAAGCUACCCUGGGGAUAACAGGCUUAUCACUCCCAAGAGUUCACAUCGACGGAGUGGUUUGGCACCUCGAUGUCGGCUCAUCGCAUCCUGGGGCUGUAGUAGGUCCCAAGGGUUGGGCUGUUCGCCCAUUAAAGCGGUACGCGAGCUGGGUUCAGAACGUCGUGAGACAGUUCGGUCCCUAUCCGGCGUGGGCGUAGGAUAUCUGAGAGGAGCUGUCCUUAGUACGAGAGGACCGGGAUGGACGGGCCGCUGGUGCAUCGGUUAGACUGCCAAGUCUACGGCCGAGUAGCCAAGCCCGGAAGGGAUAAACGCUGAAGGCAUCUAAGCGUGAAGCCCCCCUUAAGAUGAGAUAUCCCAUUCGAAAGAAGUAAACCCCCUUGAAGACGACGAGGUAGAUAGGGCAGAGGUGGAAGUGCAGCAAUGCAUGGAGCUGACUGUUACUAAUCGGGUGAGGGCUUGACCUG
rnacentral:rRNA from 1 species